UAGAUAUAAAUUUUAUGAUUUAAAAAAUUUAUUUUAAAUUUAUUUUACAUAUAAAUUUUAGUAUGAAUUUUAUAUUAUUUUAAUAAUAUUAUAAAAUUAAAGUAGUAAUUAGCAUUAAAAAUUUAAGAAAUUAAGAUUUAGUAAUAUUUAUAAAUUAUAAACAAAUUUUGUGCCAGCAGUUGCGGUUAUACAAAAUAUAAUUUAAAUUUUAUUAGUAAUUAAUUAAUAUGAAAAUUAUUAAAAUUAAAUAUAAAAUUAUUAAGUGAAAUUUUAAUUUAUAAAAAUUUUAAAUUAUAUUAUGUUUUAAAAAAUUUUAUAAAAAACUAGGAUUAGAUACCCUAUUAUUAAAAAUUAAAUUAAAAUACUAAAAUAGUAAUUAAUAAUUUAUUGAAACUUAAAUAAAUUGGCGGUAUUUUAGUUCAUUUAGAGGAAUCUGUUUAAUAAUUGAUAAUCCACGAAUAAACUUACUUAAUAUAUAAUUUUGUAUAUCGUUGUUAAAAAAAUAUUUUUUAAUAAUAAUAAUAUUUUAAAAUUUUAAUGAAAAUUAGUUCAGAUCAAGAUGCAGAUAAUUAUUAAGAAUAUAAUGGAUUACAAUAAUAUAAUAAUUAAAUGAAUAAUAAUUUGUAAAAAUUAUUUGAAGGUGGAUUUAAAUGUAAUUUUAUUAAUUUUAUUAAAAUGAUUUUAAAUUAAAAUAUGUACAUAUUGCCCGUCGCUUUCAUUAAUAAAUUGAAAUAAGUCGUAACAAAGUAGAGGUACUGGAAAGUGUUUCUAGAAAGAA
rnacentral:ncRNA from 1 species